UACAGAGGUCUCAAGCGUUGUUCGGAUUCAUUGGGCGUAAAGGGUGCGUAGGCGGCGCGCUAAGUCAGGUGUGAAAUCUCGGAGCUUAACUCCGAAACUGCAUUUGAUACUGGCGUGCUUGAGGACUGGAGAGGAGACUGGAAUUCACGGUGUAGCAGUGAAAUGCGUAGAUAUCGUGAGGAAGACCAGUGGCGAAGGCGGGUCUCUGGACAGUUCCUGACACUGAGGCACGAAGGCCAGGGGAGCAAACGGG
rnacentral:rRNA from 1 species